AACGUAGGAGCCAAGCGUUAUCCGAAUUCACUGGGCGUAAAGCGCGUGCAGGCGGCUCGAUAAGUUGGAUGUGAAAGCUCCCGGCUCAACUGGGAGAGGCCGUUCAAUACUGUCGGGCUAGAGGGCGGCAGAGGGAGGUGGAAUUCCCGGUGUAGUGGUGAAAUGCGUAGAUAUCGGGAGGAACACCAGUGGCGAAGGCGGCCUUCUGGGCCGUACCUGACGCUCAGACGCGACAGCUAGGGGAGCAAACGGGAUUAGAAACCCCGGUAGUCCUAGCCGUAAACGAUGUAGACUUGAUGUCGGCGGGGUAAAAGCCGUCGGUGCCGAAGCAAACGCGAUAAGUCUACCGCCUGGGGACUACGGCCGCAAGGUUAAA
rnacentral:rRNA from 1 species